rnacentral:lncRNA from 1 species
CAGGUUAGAGUACCUCAUAGAAUCCUUGCUACGAAUAAAAUAUGGAACAGCAGAAUGCCAAACGUGUAAUGAACACUUCAUGAAGCAGUUGAUAGUGAGCCACUUACUACAAUUCCCAUCGUGUCAGUUUUGUCCUCCGUAUCAAUACUAUGCCACUUUGCCAGACACUCUUCAUGACCCAGAGAUGAUGGAAAGUAAGAUUCGAUGAUACACCGCUCCGCUUUGUAGCUAACUUCACAGUGAUGUCACAUGGGCUGGGAAAGAUUUUUCCAUGUCCAAAUCAGAAUAACGAGGGCAUCAGAGAAUUUUAGAAUCUUAGAGGCCUUUUAAUAGAGAUAUCUUUAUUUUAUAUGUUAAGAGACAGCGGCACAGGUAAUUCAAAUGACUUGUCAAUGUUUCUCAUGAUGAGUUGGUGUUAGAACUCAGAUUAAACAUUUCCAAACCUUCUUACUCAGUCCACUUUUCAUUUUAUUGCAGUUUGUUGCCUUUCCUAAUGCUCUGAAUGUCAUAUAUAUCACUAUAGUGAUUGCUAAAGAAAACAAAGCUCUGAAAGCAAAUCCCAAUUCUGCAAUAUUUGUUAUUUAUGCUAGGCAGUUAAGAUAUUUUCCCUGAUGCUCAUAUCUGUCUCAAUUGGAACUUAGAGACCAAAAUUAGCCUUGUGAAUUAUUAUUUAUAGAAAUAAUGUCAUGUGUAAGGUUAGUAUACAUUCAGAUAGUUUAGCUAUCUGGUAAAGGACUUCAAAAUUCUGUUUAACCUCCUAUUUAUAGUGCUGUCAUUGGAUAUUAUUUUGCUUUUCUGAUAAGGUAAAUAAUAAUAAAAUAAUCAUGACAGCAAAAUAAAUUUUCAGAAAAGACUGACAUUAACACUUUGAGAUUUUACUAGAAAUCCUGUGAUUUUUCCCCCACACACAUCUUAAAUGCAAAUCCAACCCUCAGAGUAUAUUUUCCAUGUAUUAAUUAACAAUGGUCCUCUUCAUUUUUCAUCUCUAUACCCUCUGUUGCCUGUCUUGGAAUAAUUUCACUGCACCUAAGCACAUUUAUUAGAGCAGAUAGAAGGGGGAGAGAGAAAGAAAAAUUCAGUGAAGUUCAUUUUUCUAUUCUAAAGCAGGUCC